rnacentral:lncRNA from 1 species
CCCAAUUCCUCUUUCUAAUUUUUGCCGUCCUGUUUGGUUGUUCCUAUUUCUCAUGACUCCCAAUCUCCCAUCUCCAGCUCUCCACUCUCCAUUCUCCACUUUCAUCUCUCGCCCUUUUUGCUGUCCGUUGGCUGCCGUCCGUCGACGUCCGGUCUUCACUCUAGCCUGAUCUGGUUUCUGCGGACUGCUUUUUCUGGUUUCUGCCUUCAUCUUGAACAAGUCCAAGUUUGUCUCUGGUUAACUGGUUUCUGGUUGGGUUUCUUGUUGCUGUCGACUGCCCUACCCUCAUCAAAGUGACUGGUAAGUUUUAUUCAUUCUGCUGCCACCAUCAAUAAAGUUUGUUUAUGUAUCAUUCAUCUUGAGAAUCACCAACGUCUCUACCUCUCUAAACAGGCAAGCGUGUUUCUUUUAUAGAGAAUUUCUUUAUCUACCGAAACAUGGAUUGGACUUAAUAGAAGAACCCCCUCUUGUUUCAUUUCUGGAAAAUGAAAUUAGUCAAAUUUAUAUAAAAAAUUUUAUUUUGAUCACCUUUGUUCUAAAUUAAAAUUACAUUCUAGUGGACAAUAUAUGCUCAUCCCAAAGCUGUAAACAUCGCUUUUCUUGUUUAGGUUCCCUGAACAUUGAAAUCUAUAUGGAAAACAUAAAUGGUUUCUGUCAGUAGGAGUUUUGUAAAAAUUAGAUGAAUGAAACAAGCAUAAAAGUCUUUUAAUGUUACUUUUAUCAAUUCUUUCAAUAUCGUUUUUGCUUAUCCAAUGAUGCUGAAAAGUUAAAUUAUUAGGGAUUAUUUGGAUGAGCCUAGUCCCAGAGCCUUUAGAGAUGAAAGAUCAGAUGACGCAUCCAAAGCCUAACACUCGGGAUUUGAAAGUUAACAUGAUACAAUCUAUGAGGCUAAGAUAACAUUUAGCCAACAGGAAAUGUUACUAGGUUUAGACAGCAAUUAUGUGAGAAUUCUCAUCAUGAUUUAGGUAGCAGAUCAGUUAUAAUUAAAGAUUUAAAAAAUUAAACAAAUUCAGAUAAAUUUCAUCAAGUUUUAGACUAGUACUCAAGAUCGGUUUCGUAUACUUGUGUUAAUUGGACAAGGUUGUGACAUUCAUUUAUUUAAAAUUUUUGUGACAUUCAGAAGAAAAGAUGGGGGUGCUGCUGGAGCAUAUAUUGGUUCUUACUUCUGAAAUGAGUGCUUCUGGUGGUUGGUGCUAAUGUUAGUAAUGUCUAUUUUUGCUAGUAUGUAUUUUUGUUAGUAAUGUCUUGUGUCAUCUCAAUGGUUGAAGUUGGUAGACAAUUUCUUUUUGGAAUGUUAUUAUUAAUUUAAUCUAGGCUACUUCAUUUUAUACAUAGUUUGCUGACCCUUUUACAUUACUUACUCUGUUGCAAGCAUAUGUGGAACAGUUUCAGAAUAAUUAAAAGAAACAUGGGAACCUUUUCAUUUCUGUAUCCAAUUUCCUGUAGCUUCUAGGAAUGCUUACCUUUUCAUUUCUGUUGUGUUUUAUUCCUUGGAAGUUUAUAUAUAGAUAUUUUGUUAUUUCUGUAUUAGAAGUUAAUAUACGAUGCUAACACUUGCUUGUCAUAUGUGGGUGUUUUGUGCCAGACUGCCAGUUGUGAAUAGUGAUGUUUCUAAAUCUAGUGUCUGACAGUGGUUGUUGCUCUUUAGGCAUCCUAUUUUUAUCUAUGGUUUUAUAUGCCUGAGUUAGAUGUUUAGACAUUUUUGAAACUUAGCAUGUUAUUUUCUUGGCAUUUAGCAUUGAUAUGUUUGUCAGUGCAGAGCAUAGAAAUUUUGCAUUUAGAAUAUGUGCAUUGAAGAAUAUGAAGAACAUUGAGAAGAUCCAUAUCCAGAGGCUGAAAACAUGAAAGAGCAAUGGUGAAAUCUUGUUAUUAACUUUAUUCUAUUAGGUUUAAUAUGGAGGGAAACAUCAAGAUUUCUUAUCAAAAACCAACCUUAUUCCCACAACCACUCCAAAUUCCUUUUCCAAUGCUCUUUUUAUGUAUUUUUGGAAGUCAAAGUUGCUUCCCUCUGCAAAAUGGGCCUGACAUUUCAAAAGGCAAAUAGGAAUUAGAAAAAAAAAAUUAUUCAGUUGUGUUUUCGAUAACCGAACCGAACUAACCGAGUUAGUUCGGUUUCGAUUAGUUCGGUUAGUUAUUUACUUAAGUUCGGUUGCGGUUAGCUUUAUACAAGAGUUCGGUUAGUUCGGUUACUAGAUAUCCAAUAACCGAAUUAACAGAACUACCCGUUUGCACAGCCCUAAUGGUGAUUGCAAUUACUAAUUUAUAUUUUCCAUCCCGAUGUGCAUAGUGUUUGAUUCCCGUAAUGUGUAAGGUAAGGUUAAAUAAAAGUUCUCAAUAGACCCAUAACAUGU